GAUGACGUCACGCUGCAACUUCCAGCGAGAAGAAAACCUUUACUGCGGGCCGUAUUUACAAAAAAUGAACGAUUUUGCUGCGCAUUCAUUCACUCAAUGUUCAUUUGGUGAACAUUAUUUCACUGGAUGUUGGUCCGGAUAUCAUUUUAUGUAAACACGGCCCGCAUUUAGAGCAGAAAAGAAAAAGAAAGUCGACAGUAAAAGAAGAACGUGGAUAAGUCCAUUUGAAAAGACAUUUCUUCUCAACUGCGUAUCACGGUGGUUUGCAAACACCCCAGGCAUAACAAUCUCAUCUAAUUACUGAGAUCAUCUUUGGAUGGUGAUGCAUUAGAUGAAAUACCCAAAUCAAGUCAAUACGAAGAAAACCUUCAAGAGACGCGUCGUAAGCGACCAAUUGACACGGUACUCCCAUCAGCAUAUUCAACCAACAGAAUAAAACGGAAACCAGAAUACUUGGAUGAUUAUGAACUGUACAUUUUAAAAUUACAUUAAAGAUAAGUUUUCAAUAUUGAGAAAAGGGAAAGAAUGUAGGAUCUCAGUAUGCUAGGUUAAUCUUAGUAGCCUUGACUAGCUGUAGAAAUUAAUGACAGAGAAUAAAUAUUCAUU